GGUUGUUUGCAUCAGAGACCUUAUUCCCGCGGAUUCCGCACAUCAAGGAUAAAUGGAGUGAGAACGUUCACACUGACCACCAGAUCAUCUGGGAGAAAUCCACCCCGGAUACAGGAAAGAUCGACCAUGAAGAGAUCCUAACCGUGGAGGAAGUCACCAUCGCCCCGGAGAGCGUGUGACCCACAAAGAUGCUUCCAGCCCCGGAACGUUCUGGAAGCCGUUUUGUCUUUUCAUUGUUUGAACACUUAUUUAUACGGCGCUCUAUUUUUUUACUUUAAAACAACGUGGUCUUUUGCAAG